CUCCGAAUGAACCCAUUUCCUUUCAUUCAGUUCCAUAGUUUAAAAACCCCAUAUUCUCUAAUGGCCAUGAAACGUUCGCUAGUUGGCAGAUUUUCGAGUAUAAACAAAAAAGAUUGGUUGAAGAAUUUCGGCAACAGUUUACUUUAAUUAAUUCAUUUUAAAUAACUAUAAA